UCAUGUAACUAUGGCUAUGAAUGUUAACUGCGGAUCACCAAUACGCACAUAACGGUCCAAAUAUGUGUUUCCAUUCAACACAAUUUUGAGUUGAUAAAUUGUAUAUAAAAAAUAAAUAUAAAAUAUGUAAUAAUAGAGAAAGCAAGAGUGCGGGAAGUGGAACGCACAUCAAACGCAGUAGAAGGAAAAAGGUGUGGUCUAUGUACUGUACAUGUGUUUACUUAAUUGAAUUUAAUUUUUAAAACAAAUAAAAAUAUAUAUUAUAUUUUUCUAUGUAAUAUUUACACAAGAUUGUGGUAAUGUUUUCUCACACGUAUUUUGGGUAAGCAACAGAAAGGGGAAACAAGCUUUGGAUUUUUUUUUUACAUAUUUGUUUAAAAAGAGCUAUAGUAAAAAAUAAGGAUUAUAAAUUCUUUCUUUUUUAACUUUAGAAAUAUGUUUUAAGUUAGCUUUCUACAUUUUCUCUUAAAUUAUUUAAAGCAAUUUUUUUUUAGAAUAACAUCAAAACGCUUUAUCAUAAAUAUAUCACAUAAAAAUCAAAAUGACUAAAAUAUUUCAUUAAAAUGUUAAAAAAUACUUUUACUCAUAUGAUUAACUAAUCUAGACUCAAAUAAAAACUCAAAUUGUUCAGAUAGUUUUAAAUUUUUUGGAUAAAAGUUAUUAAAGUUAUUCAGUUUUUAGCGAUUUCUACUUAUAAAUAAUUAUUUAAAUUAUUUUGAUUAUUUUAAAACCAAAUAUAGUUAAUAUUUAUAAAUAUAGACUAUAUCAUAAACAUUUAUGUACCUAUUCGGUUUUUGGUUCGGUUUUGGUUCGGUUUCGGCAUUUCGGUUCUAGAGAUAUAGAAUCCAGUAUAACUAAUAUGAUCCAAACCUAGCCUUGCUUUUUGGUCGAUUAGGUUUGGUUCCAGAUAAAUGUGCCCAGACUUAGCUGGAGUUUUAAAAUUUGAAAAUACAAUAUUUUAGAUGAGAAACUAAGUAAAAAUGAUACAAUUGAAAAUACAAUAUUUUAGAUGAGAAACUAAGUAAAAAUGAUUAUUGUAAUAUAAUUAAAAUAUUUCUAUAAAUUAAAUAAAAAGUUUCAGAUUCUUAAUUUAAUAUCACUAAUAUUUUAAAGCUUGGUUUGCAGAGUCUUCAUGAGUCUAUUUAUGUUGAUGACAAAAAAAAAUUAAAUGAAAUAUUUUCAGAUAUCUUAAUUAAUUUUAAGACAACUGACGCAAUUAUAAUUUUUUAAAUAAAAUAAUUGGUUAUAAAUUUUAAUAAUAGUAUAUUAAAUUUCAUAUUUGAGAUAUAUAAAAUAACUUUUAAAUAAAAUUUGUAUUUUUAAAAAUUAUAUUAGUAUCACUGAUAUUUUAGUUUGUAAAAUAUAAAAAAUAUUAUAUGUAUCCCGCAGUUACACUAUUUAUGAUACAUGUCACCAUUCAUACUUUAUUUUAAACCGCUUAUUUUAGACAAACCGUAUUUGUCCCGCAGUAUGCAUUUUUCUAACAUAAACCACACUUAAACCGCACCGCACUAACCAAUCCGCUUGUCCCGCACCACCCAACCCGCUGUUACCAUUCGGCAUCUAAUUUUUCUGACCGCAUCUAAUUUUUCUGACCGAAUUUUGACUCAAUUGUUGAAUUUCAGACUUGGAAGUCGCUAACAACUACACAUAAAUUAAUUAUUCUGCAGAGAAAAAUUUACUGGUCUUCAUAUUUCCCAAAACCAAAAAGCACUGCGCCAUCCAAUAUUAUAAAUGCAUCAUAUUAGUUUGAAUCUUAAGCUACGAGUAAGCUUUUACAAUAUAAAAGGAAAAAAAUGAUAUGCAUGCAUGGAAUAUAUUUUAGGUUUCUCAAUGGUCGACAAUAUAGGAAGGUUACAUAACGUACCAAAUAAAGACAUAUACAUACCGCCAAUAAUUGAUCAAUAAGAUCUAAACUUUUUUUAUUAAAACAUCGACAUAUACUUUACAUUAUUUGCUCUUAACUAUGAUAAAAUAAAUUAUCACCUUAGGAUUCAAAAAGCUAAAAGAUUGUGGAUGAGAAAAGUCAGAAGAGGAAUGCUUGUUUCGGCAUGCAUGUCUCCGCCUCUUUGAUUGCAGAAUUUAUUAAAAUGUAAAUGGCAGGUACUCGAAUAAUAAUCAUUGUUAUGACUUGUGCGUUUUUAAUGUAUUGAAAUUAAUUUUUGUGGAUGUAAAUUUAGUAAUUCAUAAUUUCAUAUUGAUAGUAUAUUAAGUGUAAUAAUGCAUGGAUAGUUGAAAUUGUUGGUCAAAUGGGGUGCCAUACUGACAACAAAAUUAAUAACUCGGUCAAUCAAAGUCUUCUAAGCUACGCUUAGCGAAAUACUAAUAUAUAAUCUAUUAAAAAAGGAGUACAAAAUUAAACUAAUCUUUACACUUGCCCAAUAUUUAUAAUAAUACACCAUUGAAAUAAUUAAUAUUUAAUAAUAUAUUUACUUUAAAUAUUUCUUGGCUUUUCGUAAUUUAAUACACAAUUACCUAAACUAAAUUCACAACAAUUAUAUUUUUUUGUCUUUUCAUAAUUUAAUACACAAUUACCUAAACUAAAUUCACAACAUUCACAAAAUUACCUAGAUCCACGUUACUCUUUUAUUUUUCUAACAAACUCUUCUUUUUCACUAAUAUAAAUAUUACAUGCACCAAUAUAAUUGUUUAUCAAAUUUAAUGCAAAUAAUCUAUUUGUGCUUUAUUUAUACUUUCUUGGAAGUUAUUGUUAAUUGUUUGUAUAUUUUCAUAUACUAUAUAAACAUAAUAACUUAAACCGCUUUUACAUAAUAUAUAAUCUAUUAAAAAAGGAGUACAAAAUUAAACUAACCUUUACACUUACCCAAUAUUUAUAAUAAAUCACCAUUGAAGUAAUUAAUAUUUAAUAAUAUAUUUACUUUAAACAUUUCUUGUCUUUUCCUAAUUUAAUACACAACUACCUAAACUAAAUUCACAACAUUCACAAAAUUACCUAGAUCCACGUUACUCUUUUAUUUUUCUAACAAACUCUUCUUUUUCACUAAUAUAAAUAUUACAUGCACCAAUAUAAUUGUUUAUCAAAUUUAAUGCAAAUAAUCUAUUUGUGUUUUAUUUAUACUUUCUUGGAAGUUAUUGUUAGUUGUUUGUAUAUUUUCAUAUACUAUAUAAACAUAAUAACUUAAACCGCUUUAACAUUUGGUGAUCCCCUUCCCACAUAUAUAUAAAUCAUCAAAAACAUUUUUUUGUGAUUUAAAUUGCAAUAUAACUUAACAAACUAUUGAUUUUUGAACAUACAAUCUUUAAGAAUAUUCUCUAUUACUAAAAAUUGCACAAGUUGUUAAAAAACAUGCUCAUUUCUUAUUUUUUUUUGGGGGGGGGGGAAUAUGCAUACUUUUAUAAUUUAUUUAACAAUAAAUUAAUUCUAGAACUGAUUUAAUAUACCACUAGAUUAUGACCCGCGCUUAAAAGCGCAAAAUUUUUUUUUAACAAAAUAUAAUUUAUAGCAUCAAUAGAUUUUAACAUUUUUUGAUAAGUAAUGUUUAACAUUUUUAUAUUAGUGUUUUCGAAAACUCUAUAAUUAUAUUAUUUUAUAUUUAUAUUAAAUAGUUUUUAAUUAUUUCAACUCAUUUCAUUACGAAGUUUUAAUAAAAUAUUUGUAAUUGUUUUGAUUAAAUUUGUGAUAUAUACUUAUUUGAUAAAUUUUUAAUUAUAAAAGUUAUUUGAUGUUAAUUUAUUGACUUUAGUAUUUUAUUUUUAAACGAUUCUGAUGUCAACUCAAACCAAACAUAAUUUCGAAUAUAUAAUUAUAUGUUAUUAAGAAUAAAAACAAUUUAAGUAUAUGCUCUCGCCUAUUAAUUUGACUUUUUUGUAUUAUGUAAACCCGCAUAAAUAGUUAUAUUUAUUUUUAUAAAUUAUUUGAAUUUUUUAAAUCAAAUAAUUUAAUAAAAGAUAAAUAAAAAUUAUUAAAAAGUAUGACCUAAUUUUUAAUAUUUUUUGGACACAAGAUUCGUUAUUGUGUUGUUUGCAAACACAUUUAGUAGUAUAUUGUCAUUUUCCAUAAUUACAAGCUAGUCACAUAUUAUUCCUACGCAUCAGCACUCACUUCCAAAAACAAGAUUCAAAAGUAAUAUGCUUCCAUAGCUCAACAAACUAAUGCCUCAUCUCCAUUACUUCUUUAGAUAUUCUACACAAAACAAGACAUAUUAGACAUGAAUUUCAUAGAGUAGCAAAACAGAAUGUUACACUACUAAAAUAAUAACCUUCCACUUCAUAUACUGCAGAUACUAAAUCUUGCCAGUAAAACUACAACUAGAAGUGUUGUAUUAGUGAGGUACUUGAUACACAUAUCACCACACAUAUUCUCCACAACAUCUUUUAAAUCCAAAAGCUCACAGCACACCUUUCUAAUUCCAUGUAUUGUACAACAUUACCAAAUCAACCAAGAAGUAAUCUUACUCUGGGUGGUGUUUACCAAAUCAACCAAGAAGUAAUCUUACUCUGGGUGGUGACGCUUUGGAUGAGGCUUGGGUGGUGUUUACUCUGUGGAAGUUUGGCAUCGUCUAGAGUGUUGUAGAAGGUUGUUGGUGCUCUUGAGCACAUGCCUCAGAGCUGAAUCUUCCAGCUUUGCGAUUUUGGUGUUUAGAUUUGUUGUGAUGCGACAAACUGUGAUGUGGCGUUUGCGAGACCUCUCUCCGUGUUUUGGUUUCCUCAACUUCAGAUUUCAACAGCAGAGGAUAGAGAAGACUAUCUUCAUUGAAUUAAGACAUGUUUCUGGUGACAGAGUUUUCUUCAUAUCAAGCUGAGCUCUACUCAAGCUACUAGUGUAGAUAAAAGCAGAGCAUCCAUUUGUGAAGUAAAAUGAACUUUGCACAGUGCAGUCUCAUUUGUAUCUCAAGAAACCUUUGUUUGUGAUAGUUUGAAUGCUUGGUCGCUGGAUAUGCGCAAGCAAGUAGGAAUGUGAUAGCUGUGAACAUUGCAGAGUGUUGCCAUUGACUAAAGGUACCAAUCUACAUCGCCAACAAUGGUCCUCACUAGGUCCUCCCUUUAAUCUCUGCAGAAGAUGUAUCACUGAUUACAUGAUCUGGAAAAGGUACACCACCGGAUUCCACCUAUUGGGGGUGUGUACGGUUUGUCUUCGUGUACUAUUGUCUGGCUAAAUAGCCUCUAUGUACUGGCUAUUUUCUUAUCAUGCCUAUUGGUGUGUUUUGAGUUUUUGUAGCAACAUUAUGCAACUUUUGCCUUGGUGGCUUUAUAACAUUCAGUGUUAAAAAAAAAAAAAGGUUAGUACUUUCUCCUGAAUUAAAUAUAUGUUAAUAUCUAUGUCUUUUGAUUCCUAAACAGAUCAACAGUAAGAUUUGAAAAGACUCAAUUGAGAGAACUUAUUAAAUGUAGCGAGACAAAGAGAGAGAAAGAGAGAAAGAAUGAAACUUUUCGAUAAGAGACAGAUGAAAAGAAUUGAUCUUUGAUUAAAGAGUUAUGGUUUCAAUAGAUGUGAAGCCGUCUUCGUCCUUGCUAAUCUCCAUGACUAUCACUUUCUCAUUCUUGCUCGGAGUCUCAAACAGUUCAUCAAAAAACACGAUAAUGAUGGUUGUUCAAAAAAUGUGGUUUUUAUCUCGCCGAAUUCACCGGAAGUUCGUCAGAGAUGGCCGAGUUCGCCGGAGAUGUCGUCGGAGCUCAUCUCAAACUGAUCUUGUGACAGAGAUUUGGAGGAAAAAUAGAUCUAGGUUAGAUUAAUAAAAUGAAAGGUACAAUGGUACUUGCAGUGCCGUCCCAUAAAUUUGGUGGCCUAAAUAUAAAAUAGAAAAUAAAUAUUAAAAAUUUUAAAAAUAGUUUCAAAAAGUAUUUUCGAAAUAUAAAAAGAAAACUUGAAAAAAAAUAAAAAAAAAUUCAAAAAAAGAAAAUUAUAAAAAUCUUUGAAUUUGAAAAAAAUAUAAUCUAAAACUAUUAAAAAAAUAUUUUUUUAAUUUUUUAUCUUUUUUUAUAUAUAUAUCUAGGGUAUUUGUAUUAUUUUACCUAUUAAAUGAAACAUUUUGGUCAUUUUCUUUCUUGUGGUAUAUUUUUGUGACAAAAACUUGAAAAAUGUCUAUUUACGAGAAUUACCCUAUAUACUAUAGGUUUAUGAUUUUAUGUUGGACAUUAUGGUUUAAGAUCCUGUCACGCCUUUAGUUUAAUUUUUUAUUUCUCGUCAUAGCAAAAUCUCUUCUGAAUUGGAGUAAGUUGGUCUGGUUCUCGCAAGGGAUUCCUCGAUAUGCUUUCAUCACCUGGCUAGCCAUCCGUGAUAGGCUUUCCACAGGUCGACGUACAAGCAGUUGGGGGCAGCCGCAGAGCUGCAUAUUUUGUAUGGAACCAGAUGAGACUAGAGAUCACAUAUAUUUCGCUUGCCCCUAUACGUUCAUGGUUUGGUUGAAAGUAACAGGGAAUCUUUUUGGCUUGGACCCUGAUCCUGAUUGGGACAUAACGAUGACGCGUCUGCGCACUGGUUCGUACGAUCGACUCACAUUUAUCCUUCUUAGACUGGUUUUCCAAGUGUCUGUUUACCUAAUCUGGCGUGAGCGUAAUGAAAGAAAGCACAACACCAGCUACAAGUCAGUGGAUCAGCUAGCUAAGGUGAUUGACAAAACCGUAAGGAAUCGUAUCACUUCCCUCAAGUAUGCCUGCAACCCGCGAUUGCGGGGCUUGAUGAUUAGAUGGUUUGAAGCACACCACACUACAACUUAGUCUGCGUAGUUUCAAGUUCCUUUUUUAAAGGUUCUAGUUUCAUAUUUCAGUUUCCUUUCUAAGUUUACUCUUUUGAACUCAAUAUAGCUGUACAUAUAUUCUUUUUAAAGUGAUCAAUAAAUUUAACAUUUCAUCAAAAAAAAAAAAAAAAA